UCAUUAAAGCGCCGCCGAGUAGUACUAGACAAUGAGAAUUGAAAUAAAUGCCUCUUGUUUUUAGAGACUCCGGCAGUUGCCCAUUCUUGUCUACUGACCCAGUUGCCUCGGCGAGCCGUACCGUUCGCGGUCGGCCGGAAGCCACCAAGACCUAGUGUCCUGGAGGCCCUGGUCUGUGCCCGCCGAAGAACAGUUAAAAAUCUAUAUAUAUUGGCCGUCUGAGCAUAUAAAGCAAAUCAAUUAAAACUUUCAACAACGGAUCUCUUGGUUCCGGCAUCGAUGAAGAACGCAGCGAAAUGCGAUAAGUAAUGUGAAUUGCAGAAUUCCGUGAAUCAUCGAAUCUUUGAACGCACAUUGCGCCCUCUGGUAUUCCGGAGGGCAUGCCUGUUCGAGCGUCAUUGCAACCCUCAAGCUCGGCUUGUGUGAUGGGCGAUCGUCUUUCCUUUUAGAAAGGACGCGUCCGAAAAGCAGUGGCUAGGCCGCGAUUCCGGCGCCUAAGCGAAUGGGAUUUCCACCGCUUCUAGGACCGGCCGGUACUUGGCCUUUAAACACAGUCUUUACGGACUAUCUAAGGUUGACCUCGGAUCAGGUAGGGAUACCCGCUGAACUUAAGCAUAUCA
rnacentral:misc_RNA from 1 species